AAUCUUUCGCUAGGGGCGAAUGCCUGACGCAGCCAUACAGCGUGAAUGAUGAAGAUCUUAGGAUUGUAAAAUUCUUUCACCGGGGACGAUAAUGACGGUACCCUGAGAAGAAGCCCUGGCUAUCUUCGUGCUAGCAGCCGCGGUAUUACGAAGGGGGCUAGUGUUGCUCGGAAUUACGGGGCGUAAAGGGCGCGUAGGCGGAUCGUUAAUUCAGGGGUGAAAUCCCGGGGCUCAACCUCGGAACUGCCCUUGAUACUGGCGAUCUUGAGAAUGAGAGAGGUAUGUGGAACUCCGAGUGUAGAGGUGAAAUUCGUAGAUAUUCGGAAGAACACCAGUGGCGAAGGCGACAUACUGGCUCAUUACUGACGCUGAGGCGCGAAAGCGUGGGGAGCAAACA
rnacentral:rRNA from 1 species